rnacentral:rRNA from 1 species
AUGGUUUCCACGGUUAGGGGAACCUGUAUAUCUACGGAUAGUGAUAGUAUCAAGUGGGGGCUGGGUCCCAAGCCCUACUACACCACGAAAGCUCUUUAUACUUACCUGGAAAAAAGCAUUAAUGGGUGUGAUUAUCACUGGAUAUGGAAAGCCCGUACCCCUUUGAAAAUCCAAAUUUUCAUGUGGCAACUAUCGCAAGAUGCGGUGCUAACCAGAGAUGUGAUGAAACGUCGUGGGUGGAGGGGGGAGCCCAAAUGUUCCUUUUGUGGGGAGAGAGAAACCUCCCGGCAUCUCUUUUUCUCUUGCCCUGUUGCUAGGGUUACCUGGAGAGUAGUUAGAUGUAUGUUUGGUACAUAUUUAUGCCCUGACAACUUGUGGCAGGCAUAUGUUUGGUGUUAUACUUUCUUCCCGGGUGGCGAUGUUUUCUAUACGGUGGGCAUUGCAGCUUUGUGUUGGGCUAUUUGGACUUGCCGCAACCAAGCUACUUUUGAACAUACUCCUCUCAAACCCCCAUUUGAAUGCAUUUUCUCUGUAUGUGCACUUCUUUGUUACUGGGCAGGAUUGAUGAAACAGGAGGAUGCUGAGACCCUGAGGGCUGGAGGAGCUCUGCUGAAGGACAACGCGUCUCACAUGAUGAGGAUCUGCGCUACGGCGCACCAGGAUGGAGGAGUGCACUGA